AAAAACUGCGACUACUUUUG
rnacentral:miRNA from 3 species